AGCGAACGCUGGCGGCAGGCCUAACACAUGCAAGUCGAACGAACCUUUCGGGGUUAGUGGCGGACGGGUGAGUAACACGUGGGAACGUGCCUUUAGGUUCGGAAUAACUCAGGGAAACUUGUGCUAAUACCGAAUGUGCCCUUCGGGGGAAAGAUUAAUCGCCUUUAGAGCGGCCCGCGUCUGAUUAGCUAGUUGGUUGAGGUAAUGGCUCACCAAGGCGACGAUCAGUAGCUGGUCUGAGAGGAUGAUCAGCCACAUUGGGACUGAGACACGGCCCAAACUCCUACGGGAGGCAGCAGUGGGGAAUCUUGCGCAAUGGGCGAAAGCCUGACGCAGCCAUGCCGCGUGAAUGAUGAAGGUCUUAGGAUUGUAAAAUUCUUUCACCGGGGGCGAUAAUGACGGUACCCGGAGAAGAAGCCCCGGCUAACUUCGUG
rnacentral:rRNA from 1 species